CCUACGGGGGGCAGCAGUGGGGAAUCUUGCGCAAUGGGCGAAAGCCUGACGCAGCGACGCCGCGUGAGUGAUGAAGGCCUUCGGGUUGUAAAGCUCUGUGGAGAGGGACGAAUAAGCGUACGCGAACAGCGUACGUGAUGACGGUACCUUUUUAGCAAGCACCGGCUAACUCUGUGCCAGCAGCCGCGGUAAGACAGAGGGUGCAAACGUUGUUCGGAAUUACUGGGCGUAAAGCGCGUGUAGGCGGCUCGUAAAGUCGGGUGUGAAAGCCCUGGGCUCAACCCAGGAAGUGCACCCGAAACUCACGAGCUGGAGUUCUGGAGAGGAAAGCGGAAUUCUCGGUGUAGAGGUGAAAUUCGUAGAUAUCGAGGGGAACACCGGUGGCGAAGGCGGCUUUCUGGACAGCAACUGACGCUGAGACGCGAAAGCGUGGGUAGCAAACAGGAUUAGAUACCCUUGUAGUC
rnacentral:rRNA from 1 species